rnacentral:tRNA from 1 species
GUUGGUGUGGCAGAGCUUGGUAAAUGCAAAAGACCUAAGUCCUUUCUACGAGGGUUCAAAGCCCCCCAUCAAUU